rnacentral:lncRNA from 1 species
AUACUACGUUACACAAUCAUUAUAUUUAAUACAAAUAUUCGAACAUUUUUAGUGUUUAAUGCCCAUUAGAUACUGUAUAUGUACUCUCAUAUAUUGUCGGAUUUAUUUUUCUUGGUUGUUGGACCUAAACGAUUUAAGUAGGUACGGGUGCUGAGUCCUGAUUAACCGCUCAUGUCUUUUCCUUUGCCUCUGCUCGUAUCUCUGGCUACUCGUGCCUUUUCACCAGCUGUAACUCUUUGACUAGCCUACGUGUAAACUCAAUUUUUACU